AAAUAAAUAAAAGAGAGAGAGAAAUACUUGUCAGCUAAACCCAGAAAAAGAAAUCAGCUCUUAGUUUGAUAUUUGUAAAGUAGUUUGAAACUAAUAAUAUCGACGUUUCAACAAGUGAAAAACAUCAAAAUCAGCAACCAAAUAGGCAAUGCAGGCAAGUAGAUAAAAUUAACAAUUAAAACCAAAUUAAUUGAUAAAUACCAAACAGUUCACUGAUACAACUAAAAAAAGGGGACAUUGUAGUCUUAUACAUAAUUCAAUGGGUAAAACAACAAAAAAAUACCCUUAGAAAUCAAACCUUAAAUAUCAUUUGCCAAUAGUAUGCAAUUCCCAGAUUCAACAAUGCCAUGCAUACCAAAAUUGCAAAUCACCCAUAAGAUUCUAAAAGUGACACUACCUUAGAUAACGCAAAAAGUUGAGAGUGCAUGCCACUUUGAUCACGAUUGAAGUUGGGUCCAAGACGUUCCAUCAGUGCCACAAAACACCAAAAUGAUUCUGAUUCAUCCUCCAUCACAAAGAAAAUUGGAGACAGUAAAUCACUCAUACCCUGUGAGACAAGGCCAAAAACAAGUAAACAAACGAAGGAACAGAGCAUCCAGACUAUCUAUCAAACAGGUAGGGAAUAAAAAAAAAAAAUCCAUAUAUGCAUUCAGCACACAACAUGAGAAUAUUUAAACUGCUAAAAUUGUUUACUACCCUCAGAGAUAAUAUGGGAGCACUACGAUCAUCUACAACUAAGACCAAAUUAACUUCAACCAUGCUACCAAAAAAAAUAUAUAUAUAUUGUUUCCAACAUGAAAUAAGGAAAGAAACGGUGCUACUGUGAAAAGGAAUCUAUAAAGUAUGGCAGACAGAUUGAAGGUAAAGGACUGAAAAGCUCUAACAGUUACUAUUGCACCAAAAUUUUCUAAAUUCCAUUAAGAUAUGGACAAUAUGGCCUCCGUUGAAUGUACCAAUUGACAUUGAUCACACUUCAUAUGAUACUUCUAAGUUUAAAUUUGACAUUGAUCACACUUCAUAUGAUACUUCUAAGUUUAAAUUAACGAAAAAUUCUAGAAAACAACUAAAGCCAAAAAUGAUGAGAAUCUUGAAAUUUUAAAAAGUAAAACCAACAAUAUCUCCAGUGAAAACACAGUAGAUGUGAGAAGUAAUUACCUGACAGUAGCCAAGAUCAAAGUUAUAGAAUGAGUAUGUCAAUAGUAUAUCACCUAAAACAUUCACAUUUGGAUUGUCAUCUCCAUCAUAGAAAGAAAGUGAUCUAUCAGUCCUCACCUUGAGAGACAGAUAAGAAAAUUAACAAAAUUAACUUAAAAUUGUAUUCACAAGUAAAAUCAACUAGAAUAAAUAUUUGAAAGUUUCAUUUUAACUGUGCUAGCUUUAUGCAUACCACAUCUUUGUCUAUAAGGCCCUUCCUUUCCCUAAAUUUUGUAAAUCUCUUUGCCUGUUCAGGAGAGAUACUCUGCCAUUGUCUUUUUAUGGUUUCAUACUCCAACUUUUUAUUGUACCGAAGGCAUUCCCUUUCUGCAUAUGUUGAAUCAUAUGUAUGAUAUCCCAACAGAAGCGCCCAGACCUCUCUCCUUAACGCGUGCUCAACUCCUCCAUAGAAUAUUCUCUUUCUUAAAGCUUUAGAAUCCAUAACUCGUCCUUCAGAAUCCAAGAAAGAAGCCCACUCUUUAGAACCCAAGGGUGGUUGUCGUGGUUUUCCCCAUACAAGUGUCAGCUUGUCAAACUCUAGAGGAUCUGAGGGUACAGGACUUUGAUUAGGCACUUCCUCUGGGUCCUUCGGUACCCUUUGAGGGAUAUCGAGGGAAGAAUGGCUAUAGUUUUUCCUUUCAACUGCACCAAAUCCAUUGUUUUGAUUUUCACGGAACAGUUGUGAAGUUGUUUCUCGAGCAAAUCUGGUUACAAGAGAGAAUUUUUCCAAUACUUGGAUUGAGAGAUCUCGAGCAGGAUCAUUGCUCUUUUGCCUCUGCCUCCUGACAUUUUGAGAAAUGCUAGAACUUUCAUUGUUGGCAUCCCAAUCAGCGCUCUCCUGGUUUUCAUAAGGUGGAGAUCCACCAGCUGAAGCAAAUGCAGAUGCCCCACUUGCCAUAGGAAUGGCCCUGGGAAGCUCCAAAGAUGACAAAGUUCUCUGCAGAGGAUUUUGGAAAUCAUUGACCAGAAAUACAUUUGCAUCUUCCAAUGACCUGACAAUAAAAACAUGUUGCUUUAUUGUAGCAAGGAACUCUUUGACUCCUCCAUUGUAGAAGUAAAAAGGAGGAAAUGCAAGUCCUGAUGACAAAACAACAAUUAUGUACUGCCACCCAAGAGUUGGAGUGUGUCGACGAAUGGAACGAACGUCAGUAAAAGGCACAGCCCUUAUGGUGUAAAGACUCCUAUCUUUCUCAGACAAUCUUGCAUUCGUGGCUUGCCCUUUGUAUGGAAUCCAUGUCAUAAAGAGAGAGGAACCUUGCUUUAUAAGUUUCAAUCUUCCACUAAUUCUCUCAGACGCGAACUGAGUUGGAUGAAUUGUCACAUUAUCCUUCAAAUACACAACUUCAGCGCCUUCUGGUUCGCUAGACGAGCUAUGUUUGCUGCUAUCGCUCCUCAUCAUGAGACUCGCUGAUCCCUACCAAAGUGGUCAGAGUCAGAAAAUCCUAAACUCAAACUCACGAGACCAAUUUUCGAAAUUUCGAAUCGCACAUUUGCUCGAAUAAAAUGUAAAUUCGGAUUUGAAGAUGAUUAGGUAGUUGUGUGCGAUCGACUUGAUUGAUUGAGUGACUGCUUGCUUACUUGCUGGAUAGAAGCAGCGUAAUCUGCGUCGUCAGACAAAUCGUGGAGCUCUGUUUCUUGCGUGGGUUAUGAAUUUUGUUGCUUUGCUUGCAGAAAAGAGAGGGAGACGAGUGAUUUUGCAUAGCCAAGAAGGAAGAAGGAAAGGAGGGGGCUGGGGUACCGAGCGAUGGAAUAACGGAGGGCCCCGCGUAAAUGGAUUGCCUCCUAAAAUGCUAUGCUAUGAGCAGUUUCAAGGUCCAG
rnacentral:misc_RNA from 1 species